GCCAGGCGUGGUGGCGUGUGCCUGUAAUCCCAGCUACUCAGAGGCUGAGACAGAAGAAUUGCUUGAACCCAGGAGGCAGAGGUUGCAGUGAGCCGAGAUAGUGCCACUGCAUUCCAGCCUGGGUGACAGAGCGAGACUCUGCCUCAA
ensembl:misc_RNA Metazoa_SRP Metazoan signal recognition particle RNA